GUAGCUCUUUAAUAAUUAUUAUUAUUAUUUUCCCUCGGUCUCUCAUUUAAAUUCUCGUAUAGGACCACUGAGGUGACGUCAUACCUCGGUGAUGGAACGUACUCCACCUAUCGAGCAUUAUUCGGGUUCUGAGAGAAUUUGACGUUUACCUUGGCGGAGAAACGCCUCUCGUUCUUUACUUGACUGUGAGCUGUGGUGUCGAAUAGAUAUACCAUAUAGAAUGGCGGAUGAUUUCCUCCAACUUAUUUUAUCACAUAAGAAAUUUAACGUAAAGUAAAAAGUUACCACCAGGGAUUGUCUGGAGUGAGGAGACAUGUGGGUGACAACUCCUGUUGGAGUAUAAAUAGGAAUCAUUCGCCAUUUGGGAGAAACCCUACCAUGAAGUCAUAGACCUUAUUUGACCACCUAGAGAAACCACUACAGCCACAGUCAAGUCAUCAUGGGAGUAUGUCGAUUUGGGAGCAAGCUAUGGGAGCGUUCCGCUCAAUUUUCGUCUUGGCACCUGGGCCUACAGGAGCCAUGGGGUCGCACCAUCCUGGUGCAUCAUUUUCUAGGAUGCAACCGCAACCUCGUUUGGGAACAUUUAGUGAGGUGUUUUAGUAACUAUUGGUUUUUUUUUAUAUUUCAGACUAUCUGUUAAAUACACUGUUUUUUUCCAGACUUAGGUUACCUCUGGUUUUUUUUUUACAUAUUUGUAUAUUAGAUUAUUUGGUUCCCAAACUUUGUAUCUACGGUAACUUCUUGUGCACAGGAAUAAGCCUAGAGAAAAUUAGGUUUUUAAUACUUUAUUAUUGCUUUGAUAUUGGUUUAUGUAAUUCGGGUAAAUUUAUUUUUUUAAUAUUACUAGCUUGUUUCCCAAAUAUUUUACUGUUAUUCGCUUUAUUCCAUUUGUUCGGUUAAUUUAGGUCAUCGUCGGUAUUUAUCUCAACUUCAUUUCUACUUUAGUCAAUUGUAUAUUUAACUUUAUUUAUUCAUUAUUGUAUUUUCUCUUAGUGAGGCUUGGGCCUAUUUAUUUGUAUUAUUUUCAUCUUUGUCGGGUUCCUUUAGUUGUACGUAGCAGGCGUACUAUAACCAUUUGGUAGAAGACUUAUGUAAUUUUGUACCCUAUAUGUUAGUGAGAGGUACUUAUACCUGUAAUUUUGUAACAGAUAACAUUAUUGUUGUUAUCUUAGAGAUAACUUUUUGUAUAACUUAUGUCAUUUUAGAGUCACAUGAUAUAUGCUUGUCUAACUCAGAGAUUGUUAAAAAUCUAGUAGUUAUUUUUAAUAAAUAUGUAUUUAUUUUGUAUUUCAAUUAUUUUAUUAUUCCUUUAUGUUCAUUAUUACAGGUUUAAUAUAUUUAAUAUUUGAAAGCAGUGUAAGAUACCUGGGAAAAUGAUCGAAGAUCAUUUUCAUGGCGCCCAUGAUUAGUUAGUUUUAUUUAUUUUGUUCGUUUUUAGUCAUUAUUCAUCUCCAUUCAUUUUCAGUAUAUUAUUCUUAUUUUAUUAUUUCAUCUUCUAGUCAUCAUUACUAUCUAUAUAGAGCUACUGUUCUUCGACAGGCAUGCAAACGAGCCGUAUCCAUCCUUGAGUGUCAAGUGGUUUUCUUGCAUCUCUUGCUAGCCAACUCUAUUCAGUUUGCCUCUGUCUCCCCAUACUUCUAUUAUCAGUUCCACACCCCACUCUCUCUCUACAUCUAUGUCCCAUUACUUUAUUUUUUAUUUUUCCGACUUCGGCUUCACUGCUGAAGCCCCUUCACUUUUAUUUUCAUAAGAGCCCCAACUAUUUUAUUACUUAGUUAUUUAUUUACUUUUUUCCUUACUUCUGUUGGAGUAUAUCUUGCUUUUUACUUUCACUCCAACAGAAGUUUUCUUCUUUUUGUUACAUUGGCUGCCCAAUGCGUGGUGCCAACCGUUUUUGGUUCUAAGACAGUAGUUCUUUUAGUUCAAUUUUCUAUUAUUGGAAUUUUCUGUUUUAUUAACUUUUUGAUAUCUUUGUAUAUAUGUUAUUUCUGAUUUAUUUUUGUCUUUAAUUUUUAUUAAUAAUAAACAGGUAGACUUAUACUGCUUCUUUUGGUUUUGAUUAGUUGAUUUCGAUACCUCAUUUUUAGUUUUAGUGGUACAGCUCAUAUUUUAGUUUGAAUUUCGUAUUUUUAUUGGAAACUUAUUUGUGUAUUUAGAAUGAGUAUACAUGACUGACAUUAUGUUCUAUUAUUAUGGAUUUUUAGUCCUUCUACCAAUGGUAGUAUGUUUGCACGUACAAUUAAUUAUUGACUAUAUGCAUAUAUUUUUUUUUUCUAGUGUGGUUAUAUUUUACACCUAACUAGAAAUUAUUUUCAGUAUUUAGGUAUUUUAUUUACUUUAUUGAUUUGAUUAUUUAUAUAUUUUGCUGGCAUUUUUGAUUUGUUGGUGUGUCGCUAAUAUUUUCUCCAUAUGUAUCUUUGUCUUACAAACUUUAGAUUAUAUUUUAUAUUUGUUAUUUUGGAUAUUUGGGUUGUUUGGUAAGACAGGCACACACCACAAAGCACAAUCAGUCCACAACAUUAGCUUCUACACAUGAUACGUUGAAUUCGCCUGGUUCGGAUGAUUACAGAUGUUCAUCCAUAAUUUAUUUUCUUUAAUUGGUAGUGUUAAACAUUACAAUGAUAAAUUGUAUAGUUAAGUAGUUCCAUUAUCCAUCUCAGCUCCUAGUUUUGUUAAUUUUGAGAAUAAUAUAUCAACAUGGGUACUAUAUACCGCUUAUAUAAAUCAGACAGAUACUUUAGGUUGAGAUUUUAAUAUAAAUUCUUUAUUAGUUAGGAACAUUGAUUCUAUUUUUCUAUUAAGUUAUAGAACAAUCUUCAGAAGAAGAUUACCUUAACAGUGUUGUUCAAGCUAAACUCUUCUUCUGUUUGUCGUUAGCUUAGCUCAAUCUUUAGUAUGGUUAUAAAUUUUAGUCUGAUAUUUUUUUUGUCAUCUGAUAAUGCAGGUACCUACAUACAUUGCUUGAUUUCAUCUUUGGCUUUGUUGUUGAUGACUUUUAAUUUAUUACUCAUUAGGUUAAUUAUUAGUAGUACUUUAUGUAUGAGUUUAUUUUUUUUUUGGUAUUAUACAUGAUGCAUUUUAAUUACUAGUAUGAGUCAAUAUUAUUGAUUGCUGAUCCUGUCAGUAGGAUUACACAAUUAAUAAGAACUUCACUUGUAUUUUUGUUUAGUUUUUUUUUGCACACCUAACCCCUGAAGUUAGAAGGGUUGUUGAUUAUUAUGGUAUUUAGGUAUAUAUUGGGAUAGGUAAGCUCAUACAAGUACUCUUGUUUAAUAAUGGAUAUUAUGAUAAAACUAUGUUAACUACCAUAUCUCAGGUUAUGCGUUAUAUUAUUUUGAAUAUUUGAUUACUUACUAAUUUUUUUUUAUUAUUUUUAAAUCUUGUUAUUGAAUUGGCCAUAUGGGAAAGAUGUUGUGGUUUAAUUUGUUAUUAGGCUACUCUAUUGACAUUUGUCUCCAAUAUGUAUCUUAAAUACUUUGUAAUAAUUCAGACCCUUAUUUCCUAUACAGUAUGAUUCUGGAAUUAGUUUGGAAUUUUGAUGUAUACCUAUAUGAAUUCUUGAUUCUUUCAUAUUUUUUCUUAUGAACCAGUCUGUUAAUGCUCAAAGUUGGUGAAUACGUGGGUUCGAAGUUCAGCAGUUGGCCAUUGCUCUCGGAUUUCGCAAUCUAUGUCUUUCAUUGCAGAGUAGACAGAUGUUUAUCUAUCAUAAUAUUUCUGGUCAGGAAAUGCCUGCAGCAUGUCCUAACUAUUCUUGUCUAAUUAGUCCAAUUAUUCCAGUUACAUAUUUACAAUUUGAUAGGGAAGUAUUUAGUUUAUAUUUUAUCUUGUACUUCAUAUUACGUUUGUUGUUGACUAUCCCUAUACGCAGUAGGUUUGUUAAGUCAGUAUUUGGAGUGUUUAGACAAAUGAGUUGUUCAUUUGAGUAUAUUCCCACUUCUUUCCUUAGGCAUUAGUUUUGUUAUUUAGAUUUUGGAACAUUUCCUGAAUAAUUCCACGUAUGUGAGAACGCAUGAAUCUGCAGUUUUAAUUAAAAUUGGUUGCCCGUUCUCGUCAAUUUUUUUUCCUAUCACUUAUCACAUAUUUUUUUCCUAUCACUUAUCAUAGUGUCAUAAAACUUAUGAGUUCAUCAUUUAUUCUUUUUCUUUCUUACUUAUUCUUACAUUAUUGGUACCUUAUCUGAGUCUGGUUAUUCUCCUACAUCUGUUGUAGCACCAUGCUAUAGUUCGCGAAUACCAGCACAAAUUAAGUUUAGGUAGUUUCUAUAUUUUAGUCAAUAUACCUUAGGUAUUUAUCUUACCUUUGAUUUAGUUUGGUUACCUCUCUGUUACUUAGUCUGUUAGUAAUUUUUUUUCUGACUUAUUUUGGAUUACUUAGUUUAGAUAGGUUCAUAUUACCGGAUGAGGGUGUAUGUAGACCUAAUUUAUUUAUUUUGUUCAGUAUUAGUUACCAUUGGAUCCAAUAAUUUAGUUUAUUUAGUAUUAGUAAGAAUUGGUCCAUAAAUUUGCCUGAUCGUUCUUCUUUGGAUAUACUCCUAUAUAAAUCUGGUGUCCAUUGAUAGUCCGAUUCUGGAUAAGUGUCCGAUUCUUCAUUUAUUUUGUGUAUUUGGUUGGAUAGGUUCGUAUUACCGGAUGUGGGUGUAUGUAGACCUGAUCUGUUUAUGUGGAUUGGUGUUAGUGUGAAUUGGUCCAUAAAUUUGCCUGGUCGUUCUUCUUUGGAUAUGCCUUUUGUGAAUCUGGUGUCCACUGAUAGUUCGACUUUGGAUUAAGUGUCCGAUUCCACAUUUAUUUUGGUUAUUGAGUUUUGUAUUCCUUUGGUAUGUUCAGUAUUGGUAUUAUUUGGCAUUGGUGAGAAUUGUUCCCUAAAUCUUCCUGAUUGUUCUUCUCUGGAUAUACUAUUAUGAAUCUGGUGUCCAUUGUUAGUUCGGUUUUGGAUUGGGUGUUCAAUUCUUUACUUAUUUUAGUUACUGAUUUUUUUUACUCACUUUGGUAUAUUUACUUGUGAUAUGGUCCGAAUUGGCUCACACCUUUUCCUGGUUGUUCCGUCCUUGGAUAUACCCUUUAUAAAUCUGACGUCCAUGGAUAGCUCAAUUUUGGUUUUAGUGCCCAAUUCGACACUUAGUUAUUAGUAUGAACUUUAGUACAAUAUUUAGUUUGUUUGGUUUUUGAAGCAAUUCAUUAAUAUUGGUAACAGAGAGUAACAUAGUAACAUUUUAGCAUGAGUUUGAGUCAUAUAUGUAUUUAUUUUUCCUUGAACCUUAGUUUAUGCUUAGUGGUAAUCUUGCGAAUCAACGUGGAUUGUUAGACUAUUGUAAAUUUAGUUGUUAAUAUUUUGAAGUUUAGAAAAAAAAAAUUUUAUGGAUAAAAUUUUUUUUUCCCAAGUAGAAGGGGAUUGUAACGGUCACGUUACGAAAGUAGCUCUUUAAUAAUUAUUGUUAUUAUUUUCCCUCGGUCUCUCAUUUAAAUUCUCGUAUAGGACCACUGAGGUGACGUCAUACCUCGGUGAUGGAACGUACUCCACCUAUCGAGCAUUAUUCGGGUUCUGAGAGAAUUUGACGUUUACCUUGGCGGAGAAACGCCUCUCGUUCUUUACUUGACUGUGAGCUGUGGUGUCGAAUAGAUAUACCAUAUAGAAUGGCGGAUGAUUUCCUCCAACUUAUUUUAUCACAUAAGAAAUUUAACGUAAAGUAAAAAGUUACCACCAGGGAUUGUCUGGAGUGAGGAGACAUGUGGGUGACAACUCCUGUUGGAGUAUAAAUAGGAAUCAUUCGGUGAGAUCUACUUUUUCAUAGUAAUUUUUUAUGUAUAGUCUUGGUUUUUGUGAUGGAACCUUUGAGAUAUUAGGUUCAUUGUUAAAUUUCUUAGUCAACUCAUUAUUUGGAUUUUAUGUAGAUUAUUUCGAUUAUUGAAUAUUCAUUCAAGGAAAAUUAUAUAUUAAUAUAUUUUUUGGUUAGACAUAACCAAAUAUAUGCAAUUCUCAAUUAAUAUUAGAAAUAAUUAUCAUUUCUCUGUAGGUUUUAAAUUUAUUGAACCUCCAAUAUUUUUAUAAAUUCUAUAUAUUUUUACAGAUAUUCCCUCAGAUAAAUCAUAUUCAAAUUUCACAUUUAUCAUUAUUUGUUCAUGUGUUCACACUCAAAAUAGUUCAAGGUUACCUGAGAUUAGUUUUUGUUCCAUCUUAAUGAUCGGUUUUUCUAUGUUAAUGCUUCUAAAAAGUUUCCUCAAUUAUUUCUUCUUCCCUUUACUUUUUGCUAAUGUUUAAAAUGGGAAAUAAAACUGGGAAUGUUUUUAGCCAUUUGGGAGAAACCCUACCAUGAAGUCAUAGACCUUAUUUGACCACCUAGAGAAACCACUACAGCCACAGUCAAGUCAUCAUGGGAGUAUGUCGAUUUGGGAGCAAGCUAUGGGAGCGUUCCGCUCAAUUUUCGUCUUGGCACCUGGGCCUACAGGAGCCAUGGGGUCGCACCAUCCUGGUGCAUCAUUUUCUAGGAUGCAACCGCAACCUCGUUUGGGAACAUUUAGUGAGGUGUUUUAGUAACUAUUGGUUUUUUUUUAUAUUUCAGACUAUCUGUUAAAUACACUGUUUUUUUCCAGACUUAGGUUACCUCUGGUUUUUUUUUUACAUAUUUGUAUAUUAGAUUAUUUGGUUCCCAAACUUUGUAUCUACGGUAACUUCUUGUGCACAGGAAUAAGCCUAGAGAAAAUUAGGUUUUUAAUACUUUAUUAUUGCUUUGAUAUUGGUUUAUGUAAUUCGGGUAAAUUUAUUUUUUUAAUAUUACUAGCUUGUUUCCCAAAUAUUUUACUGUUAUUCGCUUUAUUCCAUUUGUUCGGUUAAUUUAGGUCAUCGUCGGUAUUUAUCUCAACUUCAUUUCUACUUUAGUCAAUUGUAUAUUUAACUUUAUUUAUUCAUUAUUGUAUUUUCUCUUAGUGAGGCUUGGGCCUAUUUAUUUGUAUUAUUUUCAUCUUUGUCGGGUUCCUUUAGUUGUACGUAGCAGGCGUACUAUAACCAUUUGGUAGAAGACUUAUGUAAUUUUGUACCCUAUAUGUUAGUGAGAGGUACUUAUACCUGUAAUUUUGUAACAGAUAACAUUAUUGUUGUUAUCUUAGAGAUAACUUUUUGUAUAACUUAUGUCAUUUUAGAGUCACAUGAUAUAUGCUUGUCUAACUCAGAGAUUGUUAAAAAUCUAGUAGUUAUUUUUAAUAAAUAUGUAUUUAUUUUGUAUUUCAAUUAUUUUAUUAUUCCUUUAUGUUCAUUAUUACAGGUUUAAUAUAUUUAAUAUUUGAAAGCAGUGUAAGAUACCUGGGAAAAUGAUCGAAGAUCAUUUUCAUGGCGCCCAUGAUUAGUUAGUUUUAUUUAUUUUGUUCGUUUUUAGUCAUUAUUCAUCUCCAUUCAUUUUCAGUAUAUUAUUCUUAUUUUAUUAUUUCAUCUUCUAGUCAUCAUUACUAUCUAUAUAGAGCUACUGUUCUUCGACAGGCAUGCAAACGAGCCGUAUCCAUCCUUGAGUGUCAAGUGGUUUUCUUGCAUCUCUUGCUAGCCAACUCUAUUCAGUUUGCCUCUGUCUCCCCAUACUUCUAUUAUCAGUUCCACACCCCACUCUCUCUCUACAUCUAUGUCCCAUUACUUUAUUUUUUAUUUUUCCGACUUCGGCUUCACUGCUGAAGCCCCUUCACUUUUAUUUUCAUAAGAGCCCCAACUAUUUUAUUACUUAGUUAUUUAUUUACUUUUUUCCUUACUUCUGUUGGAGUAUAUCUUGCUUUUUACUUUCACUCCAACAGAAGUUUUCUUCUUUUUGUUACAUUGGCUGCCCAAUGCGUGGUGCCAACCGUUUUUGGUUCUAAGACAGUAGUUCUUUUAGUUCAAUUUUCUAUUAUUGGAAUUUUCUGUUUUAUUAACUUUUUGAUAUCUUUGUAUAUAUGUUAUUUCUGAUUUAUUUUUGUCUUUAAUUUUUAUUAAUAAUAAACAGGUAGACUUAUACUGCUUCUUUUGGUUUUGAUUAGUUGAUUUCGAUACCUCAUUUUUAGUUUUAGUGGUACAGCUCAUAUUUUAGUUUGAAUUUCGUAUUUUUAUUGGAAACUUAUUUGUGUAUUUAGAAUGAGUAUACAUGACUGACAUUAUGUUCUAUUAUUAUGGAUUUUUAGUCCUUCUACCAAUGGUAGUAUGUUUGCACGUACAAUUAAUUAUUGACUAUAUGCAUAUAUUUUUUUUUUCUAGUGUGGUUAUAUUUUACACCUAACUAGAAAUUAUUUUCAGUAUUUAGGUAUUUUAUUUACUUUAUUGAUUUGAUUAUUUAUAUAUUUUGCUGGCAUUUUUGAUUUGUUGGUGUGUCGCUAAUAUUUUCUCCAUAUGUAUCUUUGUCUUACAAACUUUAGAUUAUAUUUUAUAUUUGUUAUUUUGGAUAUUUGGGUUGUUUGGUAAGACAGGCACACACCACAAAGCACAAUCAGUCCACAACAUUAGCUUCUACACAUGAUACGUUGAAUUCGCCUGGUUCGGAUGAUUACAGAUGUUCAUCCAUAAUUUAUUUUCUUUAAUUGGUAGUGUUAAACAUUACAAUGAUAAAUUGUAUAGUUAAGUAGUUCCAUUAUCCAUCUCAGCUCCUAGUUUUGUUAAUUUUGAGAAUAAUAUAUCAACAUGGGUACUAUAUACCGCUUAUAUAAAUCAGACAGAUACUUUAGGUUGAGAUUUUAAUAUAAAUUCUUUAUUAGUUAGGAACAUUGAUUCUAUUUUUCUAUUAAGUUAUAGAACAAUCUUCAGAAGAAGAUUACCUUAACAGUGUUGUUCAAGCUAAACUCUUCUUCUGUUUGUCGUUAGCUUAGCUCAAUCUUUAGUAUGGUUAUAAAUUUUAGUCUGAUAUUUUUUUUGUCAUCUGAUAAUGCAGGUACCUACAUACAUUGCUUGAUUUCAUCUUUGGCUUUGUUGUUGAUGACUUUUAAUUUAUUACUCAUUAGGUUAAUUAUUAGUAGUACUUUAUGUAUGAGUUUAUUUUUUUUUUGGUAUUAUACAUGAUGCAUUUUAAUUACUAGUAUGAGUCAAUAUUAUUGAUUGCUGAUCCUGUCAGUAGGAUUACACAAUUAAUAAGAACUUCACUUGUAUUUUUGUUUAGUUUUUUUUUGCACACCUAACCCCUGAAGUUAGAAGGGUUGUUGAUUAUUAUGGUAUUUAGGUAUAUAUUGGGAUAGGUAAGCUCAUACAAGUACUCUUGUUUAAUAAUGGAUAUUAUGAUAAAACUAUGUUAACUACCAUAUCUCAGGUUAUGCGUUAUAUUAUUUUGAAUAUUUGAUUACUUACUAAUUUUUUUUUAUUAUUUUUAAAUCUUGUUAUUGAAUUGGCCAUAUGGGAAAGAUGUUGUGGUUUAAUUUGUUAUUAGGCUACUCUAUUGACAUUUGUCUCCAAUAUGUAUCUUAAAUACUUUGUAAUAAUUCAGACCCUUAUUUCCUAUACAGUAUGAUUCUGGAAUUAGUUUGGAAUUUUGAUGUAUACCUAUAUGAAUUCUUGAUUCUUUCAUAUUUUUUCUUAUGAACCAGUCUGUUAAUGCUCAAAGUUGGUGAAUACGUGGGUUCGAAGUUCAGCAGUUGGCCAUUGCUCUCGGAUUUCGCAAUCUAUGUCUUUCAUUGCAGAGUAGACAGAUGUUUAUCUAUCAUAAUAUUUCUGGUCAGGAAAUGCCUGCAGCAUGUCCUAACUAUUCUUGUCUAAUUAGUCCAAUUAUUCCAGUUACAUAUUUACAAUUUGAUAGGGAAGUAUUUAGUUUAUAUUUUAUCUUGUACUUCAUAUUACGUUUGUUGUUGACUAUCCCUAUACGCAGUAGGUUUGUUAAGUCAGUAUUUGGAGUGUUUAGACAAAUGAGUUGUUCAUUUGAGUAUAUUCCCACUUCUUUCCUUAGGCAUUAGUUUUGUUAUUUAGAUUUUGGAACAUUUCCUGAAUAAUUCCACGUAUGUGAGAACGCAUGAAUCUGCAGUUUUAAUUAAAAUUGGUUGCCCGUUCUCGUCAAUUUUUUUUCCUAUCACUUAUCACAUAUUUUUUUCCUAUCACUUAUCAUAGUGUCAUAAAACUUAUGAGUUCAUCAUUUAUUCUUUUUCUUUCUUACUUAUUCUUACAUUAUUGGUACCUUAUCUGAGUCUGGUUAUUCUCCUACAUCUGUUGUAGCACCAUGCUAUAGUUCGCGAAUACCAGCACAAAUUAAGUUUAGGUAGUUUCUAUAUUUUAGUCAAUAUACCUUAGGUAUUUAUCUUACCUUUGAUUUAGUUUGGUUACCUCUCUGUUACUUAGUCUGUUAGUAAUUUUUUUUCUGACUUAUUUUGGAUUACUUAGUUUAGAUAGGUUCAUAUUACCGGAUGAGGGUGUAUGUAGACCUAAUUUAUUUAUUUUGUUCAGUAUUAGUUACCAUUGGAUCCAAUAAUUUAGUUUAUUUAGUAUUAGUAAGAAUUGGUCCAUAAAUUUGCCUGAUCGUUCUUCUUUGGAUAUACUCCUAUAUAAAUCUGGUGUCCAUUGAUAGUCCGAUUCUGGAUAAGUGUCCGAUUCUUCAUUUAUUUUGUGUAUUUGGUUGGAUAGGUUCGUAUUACCGGAUGUGGGUGUAUGUAGACCUGAUCUGUUUAUGUGGAUUGGUGUUAGUGUGAAUUGGUCCAUAAAUUUGCCUGGUCGUUCUUCUUUGGAUAUGCCUUUUGUGAAUCUGGUGUCCACUGAUAGUUCGACUUUGGAUUAAGUGUCCGAUUCCACAUUUAUUUUGGUUAUUGAGUUUUGUAUUCCUUUGGUAUGUUCAGUAUUGGUAUUAUUUGGCAUUGGUGAGAAUUGUUCCCUAAAUCUUCCUGAUUGUUCUUCUCUGGAUAUACUAUUAUGAAUCUGGUGUCCAUUGUUAGUUCGGUUUUGGAUUGGGUGUUCAAUUCUUUACUUAUUUUAGUUACUGAUUUUUUUUACUCACUUUGGUAUAUUUACUUGUGAUAUGGUCCGAAUUGGCUCACACCUUUUCCUGGUUGUUCCGUCCUUGGAUAUACCCUUUAUAAAUCUGACGUCCAUGGAUAGCUCAAUUUUGGUUUUAGUGCCCAAUUCGACACUUAGUUAUUAGUAUGAACUUUAGUACAAUAUUUAGUUUGUUUGGUUUUUGAAGCAAUUCAUUAAUAUUGGUAACAGAGAGUAACAUAGUAACAUUUUAGCAUGAGUUUGAGUCAUAUAUGUAUUUAUUUUUCCUUGAACCUUAGUUUAUGCUUAGUGGUAAUCUUGCGAAUCAACGUGGAUUGUUAGACUAUUGUAAAUUUAGUUGUUAAUAUUUUGAAGUUUAGAAAAAAAAAAUUUUAUGGAUAAAAUUUUUUUUUCCCAAGUAGAAGGGGAUUGUAACGGUCACGUUACGAAAGUAGCUCUUUAAUAAUUAUUGUUAUUAUUUUCCCUCGGUCUCUCAUUUAAAUUCUCGUAUAGGACCACUGAGGUGACGUCAUACCUCGGUGAUGGAACGUACUCCACCUAUCGAGCAUUAUUCGGGUUCUGAGAGAAUUUGACGUUUACCUUGGCGGAGAAACGCCUCUCGUUCUUUACUUGACUGUGAGCUGUGGUGUCGAAUAGAUAUACCAUAUAGAAUGGCGGAUGAUUUCCUCCAACUUAUUUUAUCACAUAAGAAAUUUAACGUAAAGUAAAAAGUUACCACCAGGGAUUGUCUGGAGUGAGGAGACAUGUGGGUGACAACUCCUGUUGGAGUAUAAAUAGGAAUCAUUCGGUGAGAUCUACUUUUUCAUAGUAAUUUUUUAUGUAUAGUCUUGGUUUUUGUGAUGGAACCUUUGAGAUAUUAGGUUCAUUGUUAAAUUUCUUAGUCAACUCAUUAUUUGGAUUUUAUGUAGAUUAUUUCGAUUAUUGAAUAUUCAUUCAAGGAAAAUUAUAUAUUAAUAUAUUUUUUGGUUAGACAUAACCAAACAUAUGCAAUUCUCAAUUAAUAUUAGAAAUAAUUAUCAUUUCUCUGUAGGUUUUAAAUUUAUUGAACCUCCAAUAUUUUUAUAAAUUCUAUAUAUUUUUACAGAUAUUCCCUCAGAUAAAUCAUAUUCAAAUUUCACAUUUAUCAUUAUUUGUUCAUGUGUUCACACUCAAAAUAGUUCAAGGUUACCUGAGAUUAGUUUUUGUUCCAUCUUAAUGAUCGGUUUUUCUAUGUUAAUGCUUCUAAAAAGUUUCCUCAAUUAUUUCUUCUUCCCUUUACUUUUUGCUAAUGUUUAAAAUGGGAAAUAAAACUGGGAAUGUUUUUAGCCAUUUGGGAGAAACCCUACCAUGAAGUCAUAGACCUUAUUUGACCACCUAGAGAAACCACUACAGCCACAGUCAAGUCAUCAUGGGAGUAUGUCGAUUUGGGAGCAAGCUAUGGGAGCGUUCCAGCUCAAUUUUCGUCUUGGCACCUGGGCCUACAGGAGCCAUGGGGUCGCACCAUCCUGGUGCAUCAUUUUCUAGGAUGCAACCGCAACCUCGUUUGGGAACAUUUAGUGAGGUGUUUUAGUAACUAUUGGUUUUUUUUUAUAUUUCAGACUAUCUGUUAAAUACACUGUUUUUUUUUCCAGAUUUAGGUUACCUCUGGUUUUUUUUUUGACAUAUUUGUAUAUUAGAUUAUUUGGUUCCCAAACUUUGUAUCUACGGUAACUUCUUGUGCACAGGAAUAAGCCUAGAGAAAAUUAGGUUUUUAAUACUUUAUUAUUGCUUUGAUAUUGGUUUAUGUAAUUCGGGUAAAUUUAUUUUUUUAAUAUUACUAGCUUGUUUCCCAAAUAUUUUACUGUUAUUCGCUUUAUUCCAUUUGUUCGGUUAAUUUAGGUCAUCGUCGGUAUUUAUCUCAACUUCAUUUCUACUUUAGUCAAUUGUAUAUUUAACUUUAUUUAUUCAUUAUUGUAUUUUCUCUUAGUGAGGCUUGGGCCUAUUUAUUUGUAUUAUUUUCAUCUUUGUCGGGUUCCUUUAGUUGUACGUAACAGGCGUACUAUAACCAUUUGGUAGAAGACUUAUGUAAUUUUGUACCCUAUAUGUUAGUGAGAGGUACUUAUACCUGUAAUUUUGUAACAGAUAACAUUAUUGUUGUUAUCUUAGAGAUAACUUUUUGUAUAACUUAUGUCAUUUUAGAGUCACAUGAUAUAUGCUUGUCUAACUCAGAGAUUGUUAAAAAUCUAGUAGUUAUUUUUAAUAAAUAUGUAUUUAUUUUGUA